rnacentral:rRNA from 1 species
GGGUCUUGGGAUAUUUGGGGUUAAGCGUCCUUGGGUUUGAAUAGUACUGGGCUGGGUGACCUUCUGGGAAGUCCAAACUCAAGAGCUU